rnacentral:lncRNA from 1 species
UUCGUUCACAAUUUAACCUUAAAAUCGGUUUUAAGGUUCCAAAACCAAAACGGUUUGACCUUUAAAAUGAACCCAUCUUCAUUUCCUAUCAAAUCAUUUCCAUUUCCCCCCAAAUCACAAAGCAAGAGAAAAAUCGCAACUCUUCAUCGUCGAAUUUGUGGUCCUCCAUCAUCGGUCGACAUUUGGACCACGACUGGCGUGCAUCAUCAGACCUAGUACGAAGAAGGCAGCCCACCGAAACCCAAUGUUGAAAUAGUAUUUGAAGACGGCAGUCGAAUCGUAGAUGAUGGACAAAGGUAUUUUGCUUCUUGGUUCUAAAUUAGCUAGCUCAUAGAUUGAAUUAGCAAUUGACCCAAAGAUUAGAUUAUGGAAAAUAGUUGGUUCUUGCUUCUAAAUAGGGUAGUUUAUACAUGAGAUUUUGAGAAUCCAACCUUUUUCCUAAUUUAGUUUCAGCAAUUUAUUGUGGAAAGCUUGUUGAAUUUGAUACUAACAUUUUCGUUCUAUGUUUAUAUGUUAUUUUGGGCGAGCCUUCACUUAUUGCCUUUGUGUCCUUUUCUUAAAAUGCAAAGCAUACUGCAUCUUUGUUGAGCUCUAUUGAGUGUAAUAGAUCUUUUUUGUUCAAUACUAGAGGAAUAUAUGAUGUGCAAGGAUAGUUAAAAUGGAUCUUAGAAUUAGUUAGGCAUUAUCUAACAUGUGGAUACCUGACAUUUGAUUAGUUAUGGACUCGGGGGGAGUUUUCAUGAGUGUUAAUUGAACGUCUUAUUUCGGCAAUUCUGCUUAGGAGUUUCUCAGAAGAUUAGUUGAAUUUAACAAAUUGUUAAAAAAAAAAAAAAUUGUACGCACUCUUUUGACUAUAAAUAGUAGCUCUAUCAAAGUGCACAAUUAAAUUAUGAGAAAAAAUUGUCAUUAAUAAUAAAGAGAUAAUAGUGAUUCAAGAAGCUAUUUGAAUUUCUCCUUUUUUUGUUGGAUAUAUACCGUAAUCGACAGAAAAUUGGCUAUGUCCUAUUACUAAUUUCACAACCUUGUGUGCCAUUAUUUCUUUUUCAUCACAAGCAUGUUAAUUACUAUUAGUGGCAAAGUUGUGCUUUUAGUUACAUGUAAUUUACAACUUCUAACAAAAUCACAGUAUUUGUUGCAGGAAAAGAGAUUAUAGAAGAUGACAAUCAUGAUGUCCUGGUAGAAUGUGAUAACGAGAACGUAGCGGCGAAUUCGAACACAUUAGACGACGAAAAAUUGGGAGGAGAUUUUGUGACUAAGCUUGAGGUGUGUGAUGUUUAAUAGUGAAGAAGAAAUGUUGGACUCCUAUAAAAGAUGUGCUUAUGCCAUAGGCUUUCCAUUGAGGAAACGAAAUUCAAAAAAGGGUGACGAUAAGGUUAUGAGAUAUGUGACAUUCACAUGUAGUCAUGAAAGUAAGUUUUUCUUUGAAGCCACAAAUAACAAGUCACAUGGAUUGUAAAGCAAGAAUAUCUACAUCUUUAGAUAGUCUUGAAAUAUGGAAAAUUAAUACGAGUGUAGAUCGAGCAUAAUUAUAAAACAAGUCCAUCUAAAUCUAGAUUGUAUUGAUGCAAUCGAAAGUUGAAUGCAAGUGUGAAACGAAAUCUCAAAUUGAAUAAUAUUGUAGGAAUUCCCUUGCAGAAGAAUUUUAACUCUGCAGUUGUGGCAGCAUGUAGAUAUGAGAACAUGACGUUCAUGGAGAAGAAUUGUCGGAACUAUACUGAACAAGUGAGAUGACUACAACUUGGUGAAGAAGAUGCCACUGCAAUACAAGCGUACUUUUCAAGGAUGCAAGUACGGUGAUCCGGAUUUUACUUCAGUAUGAACUUAGACGAUGAGUCACGGCUGAAGAAUGUACUUUUGGGCAGAUAAUAGAUGUAGGCAAUCUUACAAGGAGUUUGGUAAUGUUGUCACUUUUGAUAUUACGUAUCUCACUAAUAAGUACGAUAUGUCCUUCGCCUCUUUUGUUGGCAUAAAUUAUCUCAAACAAUCAAUUUUGCUUGGUUGUGGACUAUUAUCGAACGAAGACAUGGGGACUUUUGUGUGGCUGUUCAGAACAUGGCUCGAGUGUAUGCAUGGUAAAGCUCCUAAUGGAAUAAUUACUAAUCAAGAUAGGGGUAAUGCAAAAGACAUUUUAUAUUGUUUUUCCAAAUACAAGGCAUAGAUGGUGUUUAUGGCACAUUUUGAAGAAGUUACUAGAAAAGUUAGGCUACUUUGUUCAUACACGACCUAGUAUACGAUUUACAAUUUGUUGAAGAAUGCAAGGUUAGAAAGUGAUGCUUGAUAGGUAUGACUUGCAUGAUAAUGAAUGGUUGUCGAGGCUGUACGAUAACAGAUGUCGUUGGGUUCCUUUUUCUGGGCAGGGAUGUCCAAAAACACAAUGAAGUGAAAGUAUGAACAUAUUUUUCGAUGGAUAUGUGAAUUCGAAGACCUUGUUGAGGCAGUUCGUGGAACAAUAUGAAAGAGUACUGAAGAAUAAGGUUGAGAAAGAGUUUUAGGCUGAUUUCAAGUAAUUUUCCCAAAUGGUACCUUGUGCAAUAACUUUCGAAAUGGAGAAACAAUUUCAAUAAGUGUAUACCAUUUCAAAGUUCAAGGAAGUAUAAAAUGAAUUCACUGGUCAGGUCUAUUGUGAUGUCAUCUCUGAGAAGGAUGAAUAUUUUUGGACGAACUACGAUGUUCAUGAGCACCAGAAGAGAAGAACAUUUUGCAUCUCAUUUUGGAUGGAUACAUGCGAAUUUACUUGUAGUUGCCAUUUAUUCAAGUUUCAAGGAAUGCGAUCACGGUCUUGAUCUGCAAUGACAUCACGUCAAUGUCUAAUAGGUAUAUACUACGAAGAUGGAAAAGAGAUGUCAAAAGAGCACACAUAAGGAUCAAAGUCAAUUAUGAUAGGUUAGAAAGUGCUCUGUGAUAGGUAAGAUAUGACGAUGUGUCAAGCUUUCUCAGAGGUGGCAGACCUCACUGAAGAUGAUAAAGAGUGGUCACGUGCUGUAAUGUAAUGUAUAAAACUGCAAGCAGAAUACAUGUAGAUGUCAAAAAUCGAGUAGUGGAAGCACUACCAUUUCACAGCAUGUUAUUCGUUCAGUCUCUACUUGUAACGAUUCGCAAAAUACUGGGAGCAUGAGCAUAUUGGAUCCUAAAUCGUCCAACAGGAAGGGCGCACCAAGGAAACUAUGGAGGAAAGGCCAAUUGGUGUCCACUUCAAACAAAUUAAAGGUUUCAAACAAAUUAAAGGUAUUGUUGUCCAUUCCCCUUUUAAUUAAUUGGGCAUUUGAGUCAAAAUUCUGAUUUGAUCUGAUCAACAUGCCGUCCACAUUAGGGUCAACCAUAGGAAAGAGGCCUAGGGCAAGGCAUAAUAUUACGGAGGAGGCUGUAAUUGAUUCCCAGGCAUCUCGACUACCACAAUGUUUUAUGCCAACCCCAGUCUCAUAUUCACAACUCUUAUUGGUGAGUAUAAUAGUUUAAUUCAUUUAAUUGGGUUGGAAUGUUGAACUGGGUGUCAUCCCAUGUAAGAUAACAACGCUAAUGAAGCAGUCACAUCGCACUUGCUAUAUUCAUCUUUUAUCUACCCGCCACCUGCGAAUGGAAUUGUGAACGCUCAAGGUAAAAAUAAAGGUAAUUCGUUAUAUUAAUUUAAGCAAUUACAAAUUUUCAUCUUGUACUCUAGGUCAUGUCUUGCCAUAUUGCUAUCAACAUUUACCCGAUCAAGAUGGCACAAGGUUGUGAUUCUAACUAAAUAGUUAUAUUUGCACACAUUUAUUGUUGUGUAUUUUACUUCAUCAUGUCUACGGCAUUCAUAUUUACACAUCUCUAUUGUACUUAUCCAAAAUCAUCUCAAUUGAGAAGGUAGAUACUAUAAAUUUGAUGCCUACCUUGAGUCUCAGAAUUUAGUAAGUUUUUGCUGAUGGGUUUUCCUUUUCCAGUUCUAGUCAUGGCAAUAAUAGUUCUAAAAAUGUUCACAUUGCUUGACAAUACAAUGAAAAUCAUCUAUGUGUUUAUGUUUUCAUUUUUUGCAUUGCUUGACAGUACAAUGUAUAUCAUCUAUGCGUUCAUUUUUUGCUAGUGAUCCAUUGCAUUUAUCAUCGUUUCUAAUGCUUGGCGGUUGUGAAUUGUAGUGCAAGGUAUGCAUGCAGACAUUUAUCUGCACUACUUCAGAGGUGAAAUUCAGGGAACAUGCUGAAGUAAAGCACCCUAAAGCUUAUGUCAAUGCAUGUUUUCCUCAUCUUAAGAAAUCAUGAUUUCUAGUUAAAGUAAACAUGAAAUAUGGGUUUCAUCAGUGUCUCCAAUCUGUCAUGUGAUUUGGGUCGGACCGGUUCCAUUGUUUCUAUUGAAAUAUUUUUCCAAACUGUUGUUGGUUAAAUCGCUUGAAACUCUUAAAUAUGUUUAUAAUAUCUCUUAUGUUCAUUUUUAGUUCA